rnacentral:rRNA from 1 species
UAAUACGGAGGAUGCAAGCGUUAUCCGGAAUCAUUGGGCGUAAAGCGUCCGCAGGUGGCCUGUCAAGUCUGCCGUCAAAGACCGUAGCUCAACUACGGAAAGGCGGUGGAAACUGAUAGGCUAGAGUGCAGUAGGGGUAGAGGGAAUUCCCAGUGUAGCGGUGAAAUGCGUAGAGAUUGGGAAGAACACCGGUGGCGAAAGCGCUCUGCUGGACUGCAACUGACACUCAUGGACGAAAGCUAGGGGAGCGAAUGGGAUUAGAUACCCCAGUAGUCCUAGCCGUAAACGAUGGAUACUAGGUGUGGCCUGUAUCGACCCGGGCCGUGCCGUAGCUAACGCGUUAAGUAUCCCGCCUGGGGAGUACGCGCGCAAGCGUG